UNGGAAUUACUGGGCGUAAAGCGGGCGCAGACGGUUACUUAAGCAGGAUGUGAAAUCCCCGGGCUCAACCUGGGAACUGCGUUNUGAACUGGGUGACUAGAGUGUGUCAGAGGGAGGUAGAAUUNCACGUGUAGCAGUGAAAUGCGUAGAGAUGUGGAGGAAUACCGAUGGCGAAGGCAGCCUCCUGGGAUAACACUGACGUUCAUGCCCGAAAGCGUGGGUAGCAAACAGGAUUAGAUACCCUGGUAGUCCACGCCCUAAACGAUGUCGAUUAGCUGUUGGGCAGCAUGACUGCUUAGUAGCGAAGCUAACGCGUGAAAUCGACCGCCUGGGGAGUACGGUCGCAAGAUUAAAACUCAAAGGAAUUGACGGGGACCCGCACAAGCGGUGGAUGAUGUGGAUUAAUUCGAUGCAACGCGAAGAACCUUACCUGGUCUUGACAUGUACGGAACCCUCCAGAGACGGAGGGGUGCCUUCGGGAGCCGUAACACAGGUGCUGCAUGGCUGUCGUCAGCUCGUGUCGUGAGAUGUUGGGUUAAGUCCCGCAACGAGCGCAACCCUUGUCAUUAGUUGCCAUCAUUAAGUUGGGCACUCUAAUGAGACUGCCGGUGACAAGCCGGAGGAAGGUGGGGAUGACGUCAAGUCCUCAUGGCCCUUAUGACCAGGGCUUCACACGUCAUACAAUGGUCGGUACAGAGGGUAGCCAAGCCGCGAGGUGGAGCCAAUCUCACAAAACCGAUCGUAGUCCGGAUUGCACUCUGCAACUCGAGUGCAUGAAGUCGGAAUCGCUAGUAAUCGCGGGUCAGCAUACUGCGGUGAAUACGUUCCCGGGUCUUGUACACACCGCCCGUCACACCAUGGGAGUGGGGGAUACCAGAAGUAGGUAGGGUAACCGCAAGGAGCCCGCUUACCACGG
rnacentral:rRNA from 1 species